UUUCUACAUAGCGUCUCUAUCUGAAUGUUCCAAAACGUUGCGUCUUGCUGAACGCACCCCAAUGUUUUUAUAGACCGAAGUUGCCUGAAGAUGAAAGUACACGGCGUUGGAGAUUUCGGAGACGCAAGAUCCUGCGUUUUUGGUAAUGUAGGAAAACCAUGUCAAAUGAACGUUCAGAAGAAUAACCAAAGGCACAAUGGCAACCACUAAACAGACUGCUGUGAACUAUGUCACAGAUCGCAGACUGGACCUUAUCAGAUUGCUCAAGGAUCUGACACUUAUUGUUGACAACCUUCAGCAGCAGAGAGUUUUCCUCAAUGAGGAAGUGGAAGUUAUUAAUAGACAGACGGCAGCAUGACCUGUACCACUGGAUCAGCUGCUUCCCAUUCAAGGAAGACCAAGAGGUGGACACUGACAUCCUUGAAGGCUCAAUAAACUGUCACAGAUAUCAGACACAGCUGAAAUGUAAAGCACGGAAGAUCACAGAGGGUGCAUGGAAACAAAGCUGUAGUCUCCUACCAGAGAGAUGUAGAAAUGAGGGGACUUUCUCUUACACCCCUCUUGUGUUAGAUACAGACGUGCAUUCAUCUCUCUCUAAAAUUAAAGUGAAG
ensembl:lncRNA